CGGGUAGAGUAAUGCGUGACCAACCUGCCCCAUGCUCCANAAUAGCUCUUGGAAACGGGUGGUAAUGCUGGAUGCUCCAACUUGACGCAUGUCUUGUUGGGAAAGUGUUUAGUGGCAUGGGAUGGGGUCGCGUCCUAUCAGCUUGUAGGCGGGGUAAUGGCCCACCUAGGCUUCGACGGGUAGCCGGCCUGAGAGGGCGGACGGCCACAUUGGGACUGAGAUACGGCCCAGACUCCUACGGGAGGCAGCAGGC
rnacentral:rRNA from 1 species